GAUGAACGCUGGCCGCGUGCCUAAUACAUGCAAGUCGAGCGAACAGACGAGGAGCUUGCUCCUCUGACGUUAGCGGCGGACGGGUGAGUAACACGUGGAUAACCUACCUAUAAGACUGGGAUAACUUCGGGAAACCGGAGCUAAUACCGGAUAAUAUAUUGAACCGCAUGGUUCAAUAGUGAAAGACGGUUUUGCUGUCACUUAUAGAUGGAUCCGCGCCACAUUAGCUAGUUGGUAAGGUAACGGCUUACCAAGGCAACGAUGCGUAGCCGACCUGAGAGGGUGAUCGGCCACACUGGAACUGAGACACGGUCGAGACUCCUACGGGAGGCAGCAGUAGGGAAUCUUGCGCAAUGGGCGAAAGCCUGACGGAGCAACGCCGCGUGAGUGAUGAAGGUCUUCGGAUCGUAAAACUCUGUUAUUAGGGAAGAACAAAUGUGUAAGUAACUAUGCACGUCUUGACGGUACCUAAUCAGAAAGCCACGGCUAACUACGUG
rnacentral:rRNA from 1 species